rnacentral:lncRNA from 1 species
UUUUAAAAUUAAAAUUAAAAUUAUUUCAGCUGUAUUUUAAUCUAAUACGUUUAACUUUAAAAUAUGUAUUUAAGAAUUUGAAAGAACCUAAAAACUUAGUAGAGUGGCUCUUCCAGGAUCUUGGGUCUGGGUGCAUUGUGAGGGGUGUAUAGGUGGAAAUGUGAUCUCUGAUGGGUCAUUUGGACGUGAACCAUUUCCUCUAUUGAUUCCUUUCUUCUUCUCACUCGUUGUCGUCUAUUGCUGAUUUCAUGAAAAUUCUUGCAUGUGUUUUAUAGUCCUUUCUAUCACCUCUUCCAUUGUCUUUGUUGGCGGC